CCUGGCCUUGACAUACUAAGAACUUCCAGAGAUGGAUUGGUGCCUUCGGGAACUUAGAUACAGGUGCCGCAUGGCUGUCGUCAGCUCGUGUCGUGAGAUGUUGGGUUAAGUCCCGNAACGAGCGCAACCCUUUUCCUUAUUUGCCAGCGGGUCAUGCCGGGAACUUUAAGGAUACUGCCAGUGACAAACUGGAGGAAGGCGGGGACGACGUCAAGUCAUCAUGGCCCUUACGGCCAGGGCUACACACGUGCUACAAUGGUCGGUACAAAGGGUUGCUACCUCGCGAGAGGAUGCUAAUCUCAAAAAGCCGAUCGUAGUCCGGAUCGCAGUCUGCAACUCGACUGCGUGAAGUCGGAAUCGCUAGUAAUCGCGGAUCAGAAUGCCGCGGUGAAUACGUUCCCGGGCCUUGUACACACCGCCCGUCACACCAUGGGAGUUUGUUGCACCAGAAGUAGGUAGUCUAACCGCAAGGAGGACGCUUACCACGGUGUGGCCGAUGACUGGGGUGAAGUCGUAACAAGGUAGGCGUAGAUGA
rnacentral:rRNA from 1 species